CCAAUAGCGUAUAUUAAAGUUGCUGCAGUUAAAAAGCUCGUAGUUGAAUUUCGGAAUCAGUACGCUGGUCGUGCCUUCGGUAUGUACUGGUGUCACUGGUUCCUCCCUUCUGAAGAACCAUCAUGCCAUUCACUUGGUGUGGUGGGGAAUCAGGACUGUUACUUUGAAAAAAUUAGAGUGUUUAAAGCAGGCUCGCGCUUGAAUACAUUAGCAUGGAAUAAUGAAAUAGGACGUUAAUCCUAUUUUGUUGGUUUCUAGGAUCGACGUAAUGAUUAAUAGGGAUAGUUUGGGGCAUUAGUAUUCAAUUGUCAGAGGUGAAAUUCUUGGAUUUAUUGAAGACUAACUACUGCGAAAGCAUUUGCCAAGGAUGUUUUCAUUAAUCAAGAACGAAAGUUAGGGGAUCGAAGACGAUCAGAUACCGUCGUAGUCUUAACCAUAAACUAUGCCGACUAGGGAUCGGAUGAUGUUAAUUUUUUAAUGACUCAUUCGGCGCCUUACG
rnacentral:rRNA from 1 species